CCUACGGGCGGCAGCAGUGGGGAAUAUUGCACAAUGGGGGAAACCCUGAUGCAGCAACGCCGCGUGAAGGAAGACGGUUUUCGGAUUGUAAACUUCUGUUCUUAGUGAAGAAGAAUGACGGGAGCGAAGGAGCAAGCCACGGCUAACUACGUGCCAGCAGCCGCGGUAUACGUAGGUGGCAAGCGUUGUCCGGAAUUACUGGGUGUAAAGGGAGCGCAGGCGGGAAGCCAAGUCAGCUGUGAAAACUACGGGCUUAACUUGUAGACUGCAGUUGAAACGGGUUUUCUUGAGUGAAGUAGAGGUUGGCGUCAUUCCGAGUGUAGCGGUGCCAUGCGUCGCUCUUCGGCGGAACACCGGUGGCGAAGGCGGCCCACUGGGCUUUAACUGACGCUGAGGCUCGAACGUGUGGGGAGCAAACAGGCUUAGAUCCCCCUGUAGUC
rnacentral:rRNA from 1 species